GGAGUUGUGGUUCAGCGGUACAGUGCUUGCCUAGCACGCGUGCAAGACCCUGGGUUCGACCCUCAGCACCA
rnacentral:tRNA from 1 species